GUCCGCGUGGCGUAGUGGUAGCGCAUUGCACUUGUAUUAUCCUUCCCUGCAGGAUGUAUAUGCAAAGGUCACUCGUUCGACCCGGAUUGUGGGCA